AGUGGCUGUAGUUUAGUGGUGAGAAGUCCACGUUGUGGCCGCGGAGCCUGGAUUCGAGCCCCAGCAGCCACAC